ACAUUGAUGGUUCAGUGGUAGAAUUCCUGCCUCCCAUGUUGGAGACCUGGGUUAGAUUCCUGGGCCAAUGUA
rnacentral:tRNA from 1 species